rnacentral:rRNA from 1 species
ACGACUCCUACGGGGAGGCAGCAGUGGGGAAUAGUUGCACAAUGGGGGAAACCCUGAUGCAGCCAUGCCGCGUGUGUGAAGAAGGCCUUCGGGUUGUAAAGCACUUUCAGUAGGGAGGAAGGUAGUGUAGUUAACACCUGCAUUAUUUGACGUUACCUACAGAAGAAGCACCGGCUAACUCCGUGCCAGCAGCCGCGGUAAUACGGAGGGUGCGAGCGUUAAUCGGAAUUACUGGGCGUAAAGCGCAUGCAGGCGGCCUGUUAAGUCAGAUGUGAAAGCCCGGGGCUUAACCUCGGAAUUGCAUUUGAAACUGGCAGGCUAGAGUCUUGUAGAGGGGGGUAGGAAUUUCAGGUGUAGCGGUGAAAUGCGUAGAGAUCUGAAGGAAUACCAGUGGCGAAGGCGGCCCCCUGGACAAAGACUGACGCUCAGAUGCGAAAGCGUGGGGAGCAAACAGGAUUAGAUACCCUGGUAG